CGUGUAGGCGGCCUGGUAAGUUGGGUGUGAAAUCCCUCGGCUCAACCGAGGAACUGCAUUCAAAACUGCUGGGCUUGAGUACGGGAGAGGGAAGCGGAACUCCUAGUGUAGAGGUGAAAUUCGUAGAUAUUAGGAGGAACACCCGUGGCGAAGGCGGCUUCCUGGACCGAUACUGACGCUGAGACGCGAAAGCGUGGGGAGCAAACAGGAUUAGAUACCCUGGUAGUCC
rnacentral:rRNA from 1 species